GUGGACUGGGUUCUUCCCAACAACGAAAAUGUCAUAAUCAAAAAUUUGUCAUUUUUAUCACAUUUUUAUUUUUAAAAUAAAAAUGGGCGAAAUCUAAAAAUUCAGUGUUAUUAUUGUGUGUUCGUUUGAAAAAUCUUCCGUUUUCAGUUAGCAGUUCGUGUGAAUAAGUGAAGAAUCAUUUUUUUCUUUGAUAAGGCAAGUAAUGUUCUUUUUGAGGUAACGUAUUCUUUCUCAUAAGUGUGAUCAAUAUUCAAAGGUGAGUGUUUAAUCGUGAGCUUUGAACAAACCAAUUAUCUUUCUUAUCCACAUUUUUGAAAUGGUGAUAUCAAAUGAACGUUUUCGCUGAAUGUCCAAUUUCAAGUAAUCAAACAGACAAUCGCAACGGUUAGUUUAUACGAAGAAGAGGCUUUGCAAAUGAAACAAAAACAAAGUGCUGAACACUUUUAAUCACUUUGAAUGUUAAUGUGAGCUGUAUGAAAAAUAUUUAUGUCUCAAGAUAUUUGAUUUAAAAAUUGCAAUUCAAAUCCGAAAUGCUGAGUGCAUGCGAAAAGUAAGAAAUAAUCAAUAAGAGAAGGAGAGUGUAAUCAAACUUUGAAAUUUGUAUAUUUAUUCGUUGAAAAAAAAAUCGACUGUCUGACUGUCUGACUGUCUGACUGUCUGCUCUUGUCUGCUUACAAUAUAAAAGAAGAAGCCAAAGUCAAGUCUUACGACAGAUUUUAUUUGAAGAGCAACGAAAAUGGACAAACAAAAUCAUCUUGGCAAAACGAACUCACAACGAAGCCAAAGUGGCUCUUCUCGUCCAGUUGGCCAGAGCGUAUCCGUAAUCACACCUGAAUACACAAAGCAAUCUACUGGUGAACUGAGAGGUGUUGUUGCGUCCAUGAGCUGGCCGUUAACGCGCCAAAAGAACCAACCAAACAAUAACAACAAUUGACAAGGUCACGAGGAAACUCAACUGAAAUUAUAAAACAUCGAAAAUGCGCAUUUUGUGACAGUUUCAUCACAUUUUUAUUUUUUGAAAUAAAAAUGAGCAAAAUUUAAACAUU